CGGAAAAAAGUAGUCCCCUGCAACUCUCAAAGCUUCUCCCACUCCCGCUUCUCUGGGCGACUGGCACCCCCUCUCCUGUCCUCAAGGUGUCAGACUUCCCUUGCAAGAGCUGGAGGAUGCGGCUUGCCACUAGUGUCAACAAUCAAAACAGUCGCAAUGAAUAAAUGAUGAGCCACAGCGUUCCAACCACCCUCAUCCAGCUUGGUCUUUCCAAAAGGCAUAGGAAAUCAGCAAGUUUCCACCAAAUAUACCAAAACCCUAAGACGCGAGCCAGCCCAAGGGUGCAAGGUUCUGCGGCUGCAGGUGCCUAUGAAACUGCAAUAAAUACAUAACAGAAGAGAACACCAAGGAGAGCACUAUAUAUGUCAACCAUCUGAGCAGGCUGUAUUCCCACGGAAAGAAGAAUUUGUAUUGAUCACUGAGCCUCCUUUUCAACAGUUUCAUGUGAUUAUUGAUUGCUGGUCUCAGGUCUCCUACAAAAUGAUUAGCAAUUACAGGAAAAUUAUUUGAAAUCUGUUUAAACAAUCUGGUGAAUUGCAUAUACUACAGUCAUUAGCAAUCCAAAGAGUUUAUUUUUAACAAUUUAAACAUAUGAGUUUGGCAGCAUUCUACGAACCUGCACUCCACAUAAAAUGCAAUUCAUUGAAGUCAAAGAAAUUUACAAUAAAAUGUUAUAUGCUAUCUAGAAUUUAUUUUAGUACCUUAUUAAACAGAACAAGAAAGCACUCAUGUUUCCAAAUUAGCAAGAGACAAGUGACCCAAGAAAUGAUAGCAGUAAAACAAUUCUCUGUAAUGUCUAUUUAUAGCUAAAGUAUAUUGUAGAAUUGGGAUCACAAUUGUUUUAGGAAUACAAUUUUCACUUUACUCCUAAAGGUUAUUGUUCUGUUUAGGAGCUGACAUGUAACAUGUAUGAAACACUGUUUCAAAGCUGUUAUACCUCAGACAUAGAGACAAAGUCACAGAGACAAGUAUUUGGAGAAUUUAUUCAUGCACAUGUGUCACCAUCAGCAUUUUUAUGUGCCAGUAAUGCAUCUGUGUAUGAUGCCAUCAUGAAGUAUAUGAUAUUGGCCUUUCUGAUGCUAAGAUAAAUUAAGAAAUAGGUUAUCAUUGUCUUUGAUGCCCAUGUGACCUGUCUUCCACCUUUGUGACCAGGCCUUUACCUCCUACUGCACAAGGGCUCACCCAAACUCACUGAAGGGGCUCCACCUCAGCUUAACUUUUGGAUUUGGCUCCUGCUCCAGGUUUUAGAAUCCUCUGUUCUGUCAUCAAUGUAAUGAGGCUUCAAUCUAACCUACAUGGCCAUGCUAUACACACAGCUUUUACCUGCCUAUUUUUUAAAAAAAUUAACAUUUUCUAAGUUAUCAAAAUGUUAUUCAAAAAUGUUAAUUUUAAUGAAUCACUACUUAUUUCUAUGAAAUACUUAAGUAUUUUUCAGGUCUUGAAAGUGUAAUUGUUUUUAUACUAUUAUUCCCUACUGGUAUACUUUUGUUGAAAGCCGUUACACAAGCAUUUUUGUCUGUAUCUCUAAUUAUGUCCUCAGAAUAGAUUCCUAGUAAUACAGCCCUGUGUCAUGAUGCAGAAAUAUUUUAAAGUACAUGCUGUAUGUUAUAAGGGAGCUUGUUGCAUUGAACCCUCAUCAAUACGGGGCAUCCUUAAGGUCCUUUUUCUUCUUUUCUUUUUUUAUUUUGACUGAUUUCCUACUUGAAAGAAAAUGGUAUCUCAAUGAGUUGUGUUAACUAGAAACGGUGACUUUUAUAUUUUGUGUACUUUGCUACUUGUUUCUUUUUGUGAGUUUACAUACUUUUUCAAUACUUACGGGGUUUUGUUGCUAUUCCCCCAUUUGGUUUAUAAUAACUCUUAAUAUUUGAACAUUAGUACAUUCCCAUAUUUAUGGAAGAUAUUUCUCAGUUUUUAAUUCUUUGUUAAAUUUGGAGGUAAUGUUAUUUAUUUUAAAGAUGUUUCAUUCUUACAAACAUUAAACUAUCAAAUUU
rnacentral:lncRNA from 1 species